rnacentral:ncRNA from 12 species
UAAACUUAGGUCUGUGGUUGAAAAUCGAUGCCAGUCGCAGGCGAAACGAUCCACGUAAGCCGGCUAAAGGUCGGUGAGCAUGGUGCGGCUUAGAAGUAAGUCUGACCUAUGGUGGUAUGGAAGGUUAAGAUGUACAUGGAUAUUAUCCUAUGAGUUUCAAACUUUCCGAUUACUGCUAUAGAGAGGGGAAGUAGUGGGAGGCUAAGGUCUUGAGCGAAACCCCCAGUCAGCGGAUGUGGGGGCAAAGACCAGGUCAGCUGAGUUUA